AUGGCAGAGGUCUUAGCUCUCAAAUUUGGCCUAAAUUUAGCGCAAAGGGUGGGAUGUAAUCAUCUAAUCAUCAACUCUGACAAUCUGGAGGUGAUUGAGACCAUGCAGGACAGAGGACAGUCAGCGGGAGCCGCGGCGGCAAUCUUCGAUGACUGUUAUCACUAUGCUUGUGAUUUUGUCAUGACUAAAUUCGAACAUCGUAAUAGAGAGGCAAAUAAAAUAGCACAUGAACUUGCUAGAUUAGCUAGAUUUUCUUCGACGUCAGAUUGGUUUGAGGAGCCUAUUAAUGAAAUUGUAAUGUUUCUCACAAACAAUGUAUUGGUUAUUGCUAAUGAAUAA
rnacentral:rRNA from 1 species